rnacentral:lncRNA from 1 species
AAUACAUGUACCUCAAUAAUUUUAUCAAGGGCAUGUUUUGUGCUAGAUACUACUCUUUAUGUUAGGAAUAUAAGCAAUUGUAUAAGAUACUUACAGAUUGCAGUAAGUGGUAAAAAAUAUAACAUGAAGAGGGAAUAGUGAUGAGAAGGUAACUAUAUAGGGGAGUGGUCAGGGAGUGCUUCACUGAAGAUGUAAAAUAUGAACUGAAACCUAUAUCCUGAUUUAAAAUAGCUUUGCAGAUGUUUUAGGUAAAUAGCAGCAAGCGAACAAUACCAAAGUUUUUAUUUUUGUAAUUUGAAAUCAAUGUGCAAGCCAGAGCUUCUUUAGGAAAGACCAUUCCUGAGAGAACAACAGAGGGAAUCAGAGCUAUUUCCAUGAAUUAAUGUCUUAAUCCCCACAACAAUGAGGUCGUGGUCAUCUAGUUGUAGAAUGACUCCUGCCUGCUACAUUUCCCCAGAUACCCAGGACCUUCAUGCUGUCACUCUCCAUGACCUGACCAACAUCUAUUUUGAGAAAUUAUUUUAUAUACUCAUUCAAACAGUCAUCUUUUGUGUCCAGAGUUGGUUCCUUCUGGUGGGUUCGUGGUCUCGCUAACUUCAAGAAUGGAGCCACGGACCUUCGCGACACUUCUAUUUAAACUUCUUGGAAGGAUAUCUCAAUAACAUUCCUUUGCUGAGGACCAUAAGAUAGAAGAUGAGAAUCCAUCUGCCCUCUUCUCUGCACCCAGGCUUCAAUCCUGUUUGAUCAUGCAGGGGCUACAAGGCCUUCGACACAAAGAACUUGUCUUAGAUUCUAAUCAGUUUAACAAAUAGGACAGACAGCUGCUGAGCACUGUCUGAGUGACACUGAUUUACAUACAAAUGAACCACCAAUGUCCCCUUCUAUCAACUCAGAAUAAAAUCUGGUUUUAGCAUAUGCAGUCCUACGAGACAUGGUUAAAGGAUAUGAAUGAUAGAUAGAGAUAAAAGAAAUCAAGGACCAUUCCUCCACAAGUCUCCAAAGAGGAAAACAACAAUCGAAGAAAAAAGAGUGAGAGAACA